rnacentral:lncRNA from 1 species
CACACCUCUAUCCUUUAUAUAUAAGCAAGCAACUCUUUCUCCUUCUCAUCACUGUCCCUCCUGCUUGCUUCUUUCUGCUCCAACUAAGCUCUUCCUCUCUGGAAGAACAGCUUUGUGUUCUCUGCUCUCUCCUAAGCUCAAAUGGAGUCCAGUGGUAGCUGUAGAAGUAUUGGGUGGCCAAUUUGUGGAGGAGAUACAGGUGAGGAGCUUGAAGGAAAGCCUCACAGAUAGACUGGGCAAUGUGUUUGCCCGUUUGGCUCCCACUGCUGGCUAAGCUCUCUGCUGGCUCCAUGAGCUGAGCAUGAGGAGGAGGAAGACGCAGAUGGUGUGAGCUUGUGGGGAAUUGAGGCUUCAUGGUCCGAGAUAUAUAUAUAUCUCUCUCUCUAGGUAUCUCAAUUAGUAGCUUCUUACUAAUUAGUCUUCCUAGUUAGUUCAUUUAUUUUCCUUAAUUUCUCUCUUCUUCUUUUCUCUCUCUUUCUUUCUUUUGGUUCUUGAGAGGCUGUAAGACGGGGGCUUCUUGGCUAGAGGCUCGGGGAUUCUACCUUGUUUGUUUCAGAUCUUGAUGCCUUCAUGGUCUUCCGAGUAACGUAAUAAAUACUAGUGUUGGAGGUAGCCUCAAGCUUGGAAUGCAU